rnacentral:piRNA from 1 species
AUUUAUUCUGUGGGAGACAAGAA